GUGGAUAGGCCGGGUGUGUAAGCGUCGCGAGACGUUGAGCUAACCGGUACUAAUGACCCGUGCGGCUUAACCUG
rnacentral:rRNA from 1 species